rnacentral:tRNA from 1 species
GGGGCAGUAGCUCAGUGGUUAGAGCAGCGGACUCAUAAUCCGUUGGUCGUAGGUUCAAGUCCUACCUGCCCCA